rnacentral:rRNA from 1 species
AGUGAACGCUGGCGGUAGGCCUAACACAUGCAAGUCGAACGGCAGCACGGGAGCAAUCCUGGUGGCGAGUGGCGAACGGGUGAGUAAAGUAUCGGAACGUGCCCAGUCGUGGGGGAUAACGUAGCGAAAGUUACGCUAAUACCGCAUACGAUCUAUGGAUGAAAGCGGGGGAUCGCAAGACCUCGCGCGAUUGGAGCGGCCGAUAUCAGAUUAGGUAGUUGGUGGGGUAAAGGCUCACCAAGCCGACGAUCUGUAGCUGGUCUGAGAGGACGACGAGCCACACUGGGAAUGAGACACGGCCCAGACGCCUACGGGAGGCAGCAGUGGGGAAUUUUGGACAAGGGGCGCAAGCCUGAUCCAGCCAUGCCGCGUGCAGGAUGAAGGCCUUCGGGUUGUAAACUGCUUUUGUACGGAACGAAAAGGUUUGGCCUAAUACGCUGAACUCAUGACGGUACCGUAAGAAUAAGCACCGGCUAACUACGUGCCAGCCGCCGCAGUAA